rnacentral:rRNA from 1 species
UACGUAGGUGACAAGCGUUGUCCGGAUUUACUGGGCGUAAAGAGCGCGCAGGCGGUCGAUCAAGUCGAGUGUGAAAGCCCCCGGCUCAACUGGGGAGGGUCAUUCGAUACUGAUCGACUCGAAGGCAGGAGAGGGUAGUGGAAUUCCCGGCGUAGUGGUGAAAUGCGUAGAUAUCGGGAGGAACACCAGUGGCGAAGGCGACUACCUGGCCUGUUCUUGACGCUGAGGCGCGAAAGCUAGGGGAGCAAACGGG